GCCUUGGUGUCUUCAAUAAGCAUAGGUGUGUUUAGGGCUUAAAAUGCAAUCAACCAAUCAGAGUAUCAUCUCCCAUUCCGUUCAAAAGCCAGGCACGUUUGUUUCACAUUGUAUCGUGUGUGUAACAAGCAUAGUGUGUGUGCGCUGUCCACGAGCCUAGGCGCAUUUUACUAACGCGCUGUUAAAAUAACAAUGAAAUGCUACGUUAUUAACUUUAAACCAGGUUUUUGUCGGCCAAUGGUGCAAUCCCUUUCCGUUGCCUCAAGAUAGCAUCACGCCCAGAAUGCACCUGAACACACCCCCAUGUAAGACCAGCACGCCCAUGGGUGCACAGAUGGGUGCAGGUGCAUUU